GUCUACGGCCUUGCUACCCUAAAUAAGCCCUAUUCCUUCUGAUCUCGGAAGCUAAGCAGGGUCAGGUCUGGUUAGUACUUGGAUGAGAGACCAACCACUUAGGGAGACCAGAUGCUGUAGGCA
rnacentral:rRNA from 1 species